CAGGAAGUCACUGUUACUGGCC
rnacentral:miRNA from 1 species